AGUGAACGCUGGCGGUAGGCCUAACACAUGCAAGUCGAACGGCAGCACAGUAAGAGCUUGCUCUUACGGGUGGCGAGUGGCGGACGGGUGAGGAAUACAUCGGAAUCUACUUUUUCGUGGGGGAUAACGUAGGGAAACUUACGCUAAUACCGCAUACGACCUACGGGUGAAAGCAGGGGAUCUUCGGACCUUGCGCGAUUGAAUGAGCCGAUGUCGGAUUAGCUAGUUGGCGGGGUAAAGGCCCACCAAGGCGACGAUCCGUAGCUGGUCUGAGAGGAUGAUCAGCCACACUGGAACUGAGACACGGUCCAGACUCCUACGGGAGGCAGCAGUGGGGAAUCUUGGCCACUGGGCGCCCGCCUGCUCCCGCCCUCCCGCGUGGGUGAAGAAGGCCUUCGGGUUGUAAAGCCCUUUUGUUGGGAAAGAAAAGCAGCAGGUUAAUACCCCGCUGUUCUGACGGUACCCACAGAAUAAGCACCGGCUCACUUCGUG
rnacentral:rRNA from 1 species